rnacentral:rRNA from 1 species
GACAGAGGGGGCAAGCGUUGCUCGGAAUUACUGGGCGUAAAGCGCACGUAGGCGGUGCCGUAAGUCGGAUGUGAAAUCCCUCGGCCUAACCGAGGAACUGCGUCCGAUACUGCGGUGCUUGAGGAUCAGAGGGGUGCAUGGAAUUUCCGGUGGAGCGGUGAAAUGCGUUGAUAUCGGAAGGAACUCCGGCGGCGAAAGCGAUGCACUGGCUGAUUUCUGACGCUGAGGUGCGAAAGCCAGGGGAGCAAACGGG